CUGUUGAGCACAGAUGGCCAGUUAUCGAUGUAAUCUGUGUAUCUGGGAGGCAUGUGCUGUAAGGAGGCAGCUGCUAAACUGAAUUAAGCCACAGUUUUUAAGAAGAGAAAGUGGAUUGGAAACAGAUAGAAGUUUUGAAUGUAUGCGGCUGUGUGAAGCUGUGAUCUAUGGUUAAAAAUCAGGAUGAUAUGCACUAAGAGACUGAGGAUCUUUCCAAAGUACAACCCUAUGGAAGCCAGACUCCAAAUAGGAAGCUGCCAAGAUCAAUUCAUUUUGAUAAAUCAACUGUUUCAGAAGGCCAUCUACACUGAAAUACAGCUGCUGUUCUUUUUUUUUUCUAACAAAAUGAUCAUGAAGCAAGCAUGAACCAACUAUUACUCAGACUGUUUUACUGAACUAAUGAAUUGCUCUGGGAAGCCUCUUAUGAAGAUGUGUGUUCAAUUAUUACAUACAAACUGGUUAAAAGGAAAUACAUCAUAAUUAGGCUAACAUAUCCACUGUGAUGCAGCCUCUCCUGAUGAAAGAACUCCUUUGAGACAAUGUGGGCACAUUGGGGUACUUUGUGUUUUUCUGUUUAUUGAUUUUCAUCUUUUAUAAUUUGAUGGAUUAACCAACACUGGUUCACAACUGUUCCUUGUCCAGUUUAAUG